CCUGGCGGCAAUAGCGCGGUGGUCCCACCUGACCCCAUGCCGAACUCAGAAGUGAAACGCCGUAGCGCCGAUGGUAGUGUGGGGUCUCCCCAUGCGAGAGUAAGACACUGCCAGGC
rnacentral:rRNA from 1 species